UACGGAGGAGGCAAGCGUUAUCCGGAAUUAUUGGGCGUAAAGCGUCCGCAGGUGGUUGGGUGUGUCUGCUGUUAAAGCUCAGGGCUCAACCCUGAAUCGGCAGUGGAAACUACCAGACUUGAGCACAGUAGAGGCAACGGGAAUUCCCAGAGUAGCGGUGAAAUGCGUAGAUCUUGGGAAGAACACCAAUAGCGAAGGCACGUUGCUGGGCUGUGGCUGACACUCAUGGACGAAAGCUAGGGGAGCGAAACGG
rnacentral:rRNA from 1 species